UACAGAGGAUUCGAGCGUUAUCCGGAUUUAUUGGGUUUAAAGGGAGCGUAGGCGGGUUGUUAAGUCAGUUGUGAAAGUUUGCGGCUCAACCGUAAAAUUGCAGUUGAUACUGGCAUCCUUGAGUACAGUAGAGGUAGGCGGAAUUCGUGGUGUAGCGGUGAAAUGCUUAGAUAUCACGAAGAACUCCGAUUGCGAAGGCAGCCUGCUGGACUGUAACUGACGCUGAUGCUCGAAAGUGUGGGUAUCAAACAGG
rnacentral:rRNA from 1 species